rnacentral:tRNA from 1 species
UAAUGGAAUGCUUGAUUAAAAGAUUAUUUUGAUGUAAUAAAAAAUGUAAUAUUAAUAUUACUUCCAUUA